GUCUAUGGCCAUACCACCCUGAACAUGCCCAGUCUCGCCUGAUCUCAGAAGCUAAGCAGGGUCAGGCCUGCUUAGUACUUGGAUGGGAGAAAUAGUAAUAUUUUCUUGUUGCCUUAACUU
ensembl:rRNA 5S_rRNA 5S ribosomal RNA